UAGGGAAUCUUCCACAAUGGGCGCAAGCCUGAUGGAGCAACACCGCGUGAGUGAAGAAGGGUUUCGGCUCGUAAAGCUCUGUUGUUAAAGAAGAACACGUAUGAGAGUAACCGUUCAUACGUUGACGGUAUUUAACCAGAAAGUCACGGCUAACUACGUGCCAG
rnacentral:rRNA from 1 species